rnacentral:rRNA from 1 species
GUAGGUGGCAAGCGUUAUCCGGAAUUAUUGGGCGUAAAGCGCGCGCAGGCGGUUCUUUAAGUCUGAUGUGAAAGCCCACGGGCUCAACCGUGGAGGGUCAUUGGAAACUGGAGAACUUGAGUACAGAAGAGGAAAGCGGAAUUCCACGUGUAGCGGUGAAAUGCGUAGAGAUGUGGAGGAACACCAGUGGCGAAGGCGGCUUUCUGGUCUGUAACUGACGCUGAGGCGCGAAAGCGUGGGGAGCAAACAGGAUUAGAUACCCUGGUAGUCCACGCCGUAAACGAUGAGUGCUAAGUGUUAGGGGGUUUCCGCCCCUUAGUGCUGCAGCUAACGCAUUAAGCACUCCGCCUGGGGAGUACGGCCGCAAGGCUG